CUUCUGCAAGAGGUGGCCUUGUUACCAGUGUUUACCAUUUCUUCAGGGCAACCUAUGUCUUUACUGAACCUGGUGUUUGCUAAGACCUCUCUUUAAUCUUAUUGCAGCAAACAUAGCUGUGACAGGAGAGCUAUGAAAAGCGCUAACAGGAGUGAAUACCCUUCACCAGCUCCCAGCACCAGGAGUUUUUGCUAUCUGUAGCUUCCCUUUUGGACCCUCAUCAAGCCACCACUCACUGUGUUACCAGUAGUGGGGAGAAGCCCACCAGCACCGGCACGUGGCUGUGCUGCCAAUCAGCCAUGGUGAGAAGGCUCCUGGCCCCUGUGAGGCUCCUGCUGUCUGCCCAGCACCAUGACCACUCCUGAUUAGACGGACGCUGGAGCUGCACAGAAUAAGCACAAAGGGAGGGCUUUGGGUGAAAAGGUGGCAUCUCCCUGCAGGCUGUUGUAUAGACAAGGAUCCAUGUGAAGCUCAAAUGCCUUUCUCUGAAAAUAUUUAGACAUUCUUGUGAAAAAUAAACACGGCUGUCUCACUGUUGGCUGACUGAAGCACGACGAUUAACUAGAGCUGGGCGAAUUCUGUGUAGUUCAGUGUGAACUUGCCAGUUCUCUGACGGUUUCAUCUCCACCAUCCCUCUGACUGGCCAACGUUUAUUCCAGAUACUGGGCGCUUGCUCUGUUACCAAGAGCAGCAGCAAGGAAGAGCAGCAGGAGCAGGACACUGAGGUACCGCGGCAGGAAGCAGCAGUGGGAAGCGUGACGUCUUUACCCAGGUGUUGGCUGCCAGAGGUAAGAGAUCCUCGGCCCGGGGUUGGCGAGGGUGGGAAUUAGCACAUGGUAGUUUAGGGUUAAGUAUGUGCUCAUGCACACACAUGGAGCAGUUGUGGAGAGCAGCUGAGGCCAUGAAGGAAAUUCAUACCAAUUUGGGUUAGCCCACAUUUUGUCAUGUUACCAAAAAUAUUCUGUAAAUAAAUAUAUUAAUGGGCCACUUGUAGAUAGCA
rnacentral:lncRNA from 1 species